rnacentral:rRNA from 1 species
GACGAACGCUGGCGGCGUGCUUAACACAUGCAAGUCGAACGGAAAGGCCCUGCUUUUGUGGGGUGCUCGAGUGGCGAACGGGUGAGUAACACGUGAGUAACCUGCCCUUGACUUUGGGAUAACUUCAGGAAACUGGGGCUAAUACCGGAUAGGAGCUCCUGCUGCAUGGUGGGGGUUGGAAAGUUUCGGCGGUUGGGGAUGGACUCGCGGCUUAUCAGCUUGUUGGUGGGGUAGUGGCUUACCAAGGCUUUGACGGGUAGCCGGCCUGAGAGGGUGACCGGCGACAUUGGGACUGAGAUACGGACCAGACUCCUACGGGAGGCAGCAGUGGGGAAUAUUGCACAAUGGGAGGAAGCCUGAUGCAGAAACGCCGCGUGCGGGAUGAAGGCCUUCGGGUUGUAAACCGCUUUCGCCUGUGACGAAGCGUGAGUGACGGUAAUGGGUAAAGAAGCACCGGCUAACUACGUG